rfam:Capsicum annuum cultivar Zunla-1 chromosome 4, whole genome shotgun sequence
UUUGCGGUGAUGAGGUGCCAACAUGUAAGGAGAUCUAUUUAAAGCUUGGAUCUUCGAUGAAAUUUGCUUGUUACGCUCAGCUUCUGAGCUUC